rnacentral:piRNA from 1 species
UGCUAGCCUGCAGACUGUUGGAGCAUGCUC